rfam:Dorea sp. CAG:105 genomic scaffold, scf163
GGGCUUGUACUGGUUUCGACGGGGGUCUGGAAGUUGGAGAAGCCAUCCGUAGCGGGACACUACGUUAAAAGUUCCAACUAAAUAUAAACGCAGACGAAAAUUUAGCGUACGCAGCCUAAUUAGGCGGCAGUCGACCCGGAAUCAUCCGCUGUUCCAGUAAUCGGCUUCAAACAGGCGGAGCACUUCGUUUCCAAAGCUUUGCGGAGAUGGAAGAACUUAUGAAGCUACUAAAACGGAUAACCUGUCAUUAGGUGAUUCGCGGAGGGAAUGUCAGAAUAAUGACUGUGAUGGGAGAUGCUCUGAUGGAUGGGCUUUCGGACGCGGGUUCAACUCCCGCCAGGUCCAUUU